UAAACUAGUACAAGUGUGAAAUAAAUAACUUCUAUGUUUUUUAUUGAGAAAAUUUCAUUACAUCAGCCUGUGGUUUGCCAUUUAAUCAUUUUUCGCCUCUGUGUUUUUUUUUAUUAUUAGAUCACCCUAUAGCAACUUUUUGUAUCAUUACCAACCCCUCUUGCAAACGUCCGUUUACAACUCUCCGUUAGCCCUUUCACGUGCAUACCAUGUGAGGGUAUUUUUGUCUUUUUUUUUUUUUUUUCCUCCUUUUCCCCAGAUCUAUUACAACUCCAAUUUCUUUUUGUUUAUUCUUUUCCUCCUUUUCCCUAGAUCUAUCAACAUCAUAACCACAAAAAUCAACAUUAUCACCAAACACACAUAUAUAUAAAUAAAUAUAAAAAAUAUAAUCUUCAUAUCAUCUUUAUACCUGAACAACAAAACCACAAACUCAUUAUCUUUCAAUCGAUUCACAAUCAAUCAAAUUCGAUUCACAAGCAUAGAUGGUGACCACGGCUUCCAAAAUCCACCGUCUCUUAUAUCUUUUUUUCCCCGAAAAUCAAAUUUCACACACACAAAACACACUGAAAUUAUAUAUAUUAAUUGACUGUGAAAGAAAGUACAGAUCCGAGAUGAUUUCGAUUCAAUGUGUCUGUUGUGAGUGUGAGUUUAUGUUCAGUUGCGAGUGUGUGUUCCAUAUAUGUGUAUGGAACGAAAAAACGAACAAGAUGGGAUUUGUUUUAGGUUGAAACUCCGACGAAAAUGGCUGACGGUUAUGGCAUCGGCGAUGGUGGUUGUGAGGGAUAUGAAGACAUCUCUCCGGCGACCUCUUAUUUUCAUCCAUUCACUUUCACCCACAUGAUGGUGGUCGUGUGGUGUUUAGGGAGAGGAGUAGGAAAGCUAACAGACAAGCAAAAUGGGGAAGAAAAAUUAAUAUAGAAUGAAGAUGGUGGUGAUGCCUUUAAUCUAAGAAGUUAAUCGAUGGUGGUGAUGCCUUUUAUGGUUUCAUUGUUUUCAAGGAAGGGCUGUGACUGGAUUGGUUCAAGUAGAGAGUUAAGGAUGAGAAGUUAUCGAGAAAGUGGCAAGUCUUGAAUUCUUAUGGCAAUGUGUUUUUACAUGAUCUGCAUAGGAUGGCUCUUUAUGGUGGUGGUUUUACCAAAGAUAUUGAGGAUGAGAUGCUUUUUGCAAUUAGUAUGCUUCAGAAGAAUAUCGAUAACUUCUCAAAGACUAUCGCUAAUAUGUUUAUUUUUGGCAUGUAAAUAUAAUGAUUAUUUCAAUAGGCCUGACAAGAAGGAAGCUUGAUGAGAUUUUGAAGUUGGUUAACUAAUACUGAAGCCUUAACUUUUUCUUGUGUAAAGUUUAGCCACAACAUUCAUGUUUCAGCAUAUACUUCUUUUUUACUCUUAGGAACAAACUUGAGGAAUAUGUCGCAUUUGCCGAGCGAACAUGUAUAAAUUUUUGUGGAUUAUAGUCCAAAGAUACGAUACUAAUUUAUUUACA